GAUGGCUGCCAUUGGCACCGGGGAAGACAUCCUGGGAGGCGGUGGUAACUGCAGCGAAGUCCUUGUCAUCAUAGAGG
rnacentral:lncRNA from 1 species